ensembl:lincRNA
CGUUGUCCCGCCCACUAUUUAUUCUUGCUCCGCCCACUUAAAGUGAAAAAAGGGGGUUCGUCUGAAAGUCUCUCAUUCGAUCUGUUCACAAUGGGCGACUCGUGAUAACCACGGAACACACACACAAACAAACACGGGGAAACACGAGGACGGAGAUGAGAAACAACAACAGCAGCUCCUUUGAAGAACCACAAGACCACAACCUCACACAGAUUUUUCCAGUCUCUUCAUGGCUCCCCUCCAACUCCUUUAGAAAUGGCUCAGUGACUGGCGGUAAACCUCCUCUUGCUGACACUCCAGUGAGCAGACAGAGUGGAAUCAUACCAGGUGCGAUCGCUGCUGCAGUGUUUAUAGCAUUUCUGUUAGCGCUCUACACUGUUCUGUGGAAAUGCAUGAUUUCACCACCCAAACGGAGGAAAAAAAGAGCAAGUUUGAGGGCUCACGAGCAGAGGUCUCUUACAUGCUGACUUCCACCUGCCCAGAGUUACUCAUCUUAGGUCGGAUCUGUAUCAGCCGCAGCUUUAAUGUCUGUUUGGCUGAUCACUACACAUUAUCCACUGUCCCAUUUGAAAAAUAGUUCUGAAAAUCUGUGAUUUGGGCAUUCAACUGAAAAAUGUGUGUGUGUGUGCAGGUGCAUGCGUAUGUUUAAAGGAAAUGACAAAGGGAUGGUUCACCCAAAAAUGAAAUUUACUCAUUUACUCCCAUUCGGCAUGUUUCCAACACAUUACAGUUUCUUUCUUAAAAUACAAAGGAAGGUAUUUUGAAAAAAUGUAAAAAUUAGCAGCCAUUGACGUCAGUACUUCCCCCACCCCUACUAUGGAUGGCAAUGGCUGAUGAUUUCACACACACAUACACACACAUCUUCUUUUUUUAUCAAACAGAAAAAUAAGAAAGAAACACAUUUAAUACAACUUGAGGGUGUGUAAAAGUAAAUUAUUUUUAAAAUGAACUGUUCAUCCAUUAAACGUGCUCUUGAAGCGUGUAUAAAUAUAUAUGAUUUGGAAGAGUGACCAAGACAUAAAUGUCCACUAGAUGUCACUAGAUGUGUUCACUUUUAACUCAACGAAACUAGGAAAUCAGCCAAAAGCUCUUCAUUCUUUAGCCCAUAUGUUUUUUAUCUUCGUAAACUUGCCUGUUUAGGACUUUUAUUUGAUUUUAUUGCCUAUAUAUGCUAAUUAACACACAAAAUAUAACACCUAUUAUGAAACUAGACGUUUGUUUUUCUCCAAACGUCCCCUUUGGCCAGGUGAACUCUGCACCAGUGAAUGAGUGCAUGCGUGUGUGGGUGUGAGAGAGCGAGUUUGUGAGAUAUUUGCCUUGUACAGCAGUAUUGGUUAGAGAGAACAGCACAUUUCUGGGUUAAAGUCUUUUUGGGUACGUGUGUGUGUUAAUGUAAGAAAAGGGAGCUACAGAUUGCACAUUUUUAUUGUAGAUAAUAUACCCGUUUGCACAAUAGCUGUACGCGGUUAUAGAUAUUUUACUUAUGUCAUGGCUUUUUUAUUAGCGGUUUUCACUGUGAAUAUCUGACUUUUAUUUUGGAUUAAAGUGUGUCGAUGUAAUCCAGUAUGCAAAUGUGUACUUUGAUUAAAGACGAGUUUGUACAGUUGUUUUAAACUAAUACGUUAGAUGGCUUCAGAAUGAAAAUGUUGCUAGCUUUAUGCUUUCCCAUUUCCAAACCUGCCUUGUGUUAAUCUUCAGAAUAAAUAUGAAGAUGUUUUUAAUGAAUUGUGAAAGAUUUCUGUCCCUUCAUAAAAAUUACCGCACUCAGUAAUACAAUUAAUAGUAAUAAUAAUGAAUUAAAUUAAUUAAUAAUACGAUUGUGGCUGCUGUGCUGACUGUCUAGUGAAAUAAAGGACAUUUAUUCCAGAGCCCAACAUCUGGAGCUUAAGCGUUAAUUUAAACUCUUUAAAAGUUCCUUUAAAGACAGUCUUUAAUAUUUGAAAUCAUUUAAAAAAUGCAAUAAUUUACUACACUCACCGGCCACUUUAUUAGGUACACCUCUCUAACUGCUCAUUAACGCAAAUUUCUAAUCAGCCAAUCACAUGGCAGCAACUCAACGCAUUUAGGCAGGUAGGCAUGGUUGAGACGAUUUGCUGCAGUUUAAACAGAGCAUUAGAAUGGGGAAGAAAGGUGAUUUAAGUGACUUUGAAUGUGGCAUGGUUGUUGGUGCCAGACAGGCUGGUCUGAGUAUUUCAGAAACUGCUGAUUUACUGGGAUUUUCACACACGACCAUCUCUAGAGUUUACAGAGAAUGGUUAUAAAAAAUUAAAAUAUCAAGUGAGCGGCAGUUCCGUGGGCGCAAAUGUCUUGUUGAUGUCAGAGGAGAAUGGCCAGACUGGUUUAAGCUAAUAGGAAGGCAACAGUAACUCAAAUAAACACUCGUUAUAACCAAGGCAUGCAGAAGAGCAUCUCUCAAUGCAUCACACAUCCAACCUUGAGGCAGAUUGGCUACAGCAGCAGAAGAUCACACCGGCUGCCACUCCUGUCACAUAAGAACAGAAAACUGAGGCCAAAUUUGCACAGGCUCACCAAAAUUGAACAAUAGAAAAUUGGAAAAACGUUGCCUGGUCUGAUAAGUCUCGAUUUCUGCUGCAACAUUCAGAUGGUAGGGUCAGAAUUUGGUGUCAACAACAUGAAAGCAUGGAUCUAUCCUGACUUGUACCAACGGUUCAGACUGGUGGUGGUGGUGGUGGUGUAAUGGUGUGGGUGAUAUAUUCUUGGUGCUCUUGGGCCCAUUAUUACCAAAUAAGCGUUGUGUUGAUGCCACAGCCUAUCUGAGCAUUGUUGCUGACCAAGUCCAUCCCUUUAUGACCACAGUCUGCCCAUCUUCUAAUGGCUACUUUCAGCAGGAUAACAUGCCAUGUCAAUAAGCACAAAUCAUCUGACUGGUUUCUUGAACAUGACAAUGAGUUCACUGUACUCAAAUGGCCUUCACAGUCAGCAGAACUCAAUCCAAUAGAGCUCUUUUGGGAUGUGGUGGAACGGGAGAUUUGCAUCAUGGAUGUGCAGCCGACAAAUCUGCAGCAACUGUGUGGUGCUAUCAUGUCAAAUGGACCAAAAUCUCUGAGAAAUAUUUCUAGUACCUUUUUGAAUAUAUGAUAUGAAGGAUUAAGGUGUGUAUUCAUGACAAAUGCAGUAUAACAGUUUUUUUUUAUAUUUUAUUCAUAAAAUUGCCUGUGACAAAAAUAAAACGCUAUUUUCAUUGAACAGUGUGAAAUCAUUACAUUUAUUCCACAAUAAAUAUCCUUAAAACAUUUAUUUUUACAUAUAAAAAGUUUUUCCUUGAUUGCCUCUGAAAAUGUUUUUCCAACAUUUAUUAAAAGAGAAAUUGUAAAAGUGCUCGAUGGCUCCUUCAACAGUAAAUGGUAAACUUUAAACACACAAGCUGUAAUGAACAUUCAAUGCGGUUUGUUUUACACAAGGUAGAAAUACACACAGUGCAUUUAAUACAUAGUAAUGCUUAUGAUAAUACUCUUUCUAUACUGGAGUGUUUGAGUUGCAGUUUCCUGUAUUCAACGCUGUAAGUGUUUCCGUCAUGAACAAGACCAUUUCAAUCAUGUGAAACCUUAACGACAGAAUUAAAUAACAAAUAUUACAUCAUAAAAAAGUCAAACAAUUGUGCUCUAUUGUAGUGAUUUCCUUCGUUGUGAAAUGGUGGAAUCAGCUUGUAUCUGUUAUCACUUUGCCUCAGGUUUGACCUGGGCAACAUAAUCACCGGUACGAAUGAUGGUGAAAGAUCGACAAGCUGAAUAUCUCCCAUCUUCAGAACAGCAGUAGCGCAAUGCUAUCAGAGAAGUCCAUGUGAAACGCAUAGAGCUGACAGAGCAGGAUCACAUUCUGCUUACAGCGUUUCAUCGAUGGCUUGUGAUUGGCUGCUUUAUUUCCCUUAGAGACUCGCAUGCAUUUACAAUAGUGGCAUUCUUAAGACUUCCAGUUCAGUAUAAUGAUAUGGUAAAUAAACUCAAAGAAAGUUUUAGGGCUACAACUUGGAGAUAUCCAUUCGGUGGGCAUUUGGGUGGUUUCAGGCAUAAUCACUGCCAUUAUUAGGACUGACGGCUCUUCUGGAGGGCUCGAAGGCUCUACAGGGAAACUUGAAGGCUCUGCAGGGAUUACGCCGUUGGACUUUUCAUGGUUUUCAGGCAAACUUGCAGGCUCUACGUGGAUUUCGCCGUUAGAUUUUUCAUGGUUUUCAAAGCAAACGUUGUCAUAUGUAGCUUUACUAUUGAGCUCCAUCUCUUUUUCUUGUUCUUCUUGAAUCUGCAGCAGAAGUGCGUUGUUUACUCCAGGACCUGGGAAACACACACACAGUCCUUUUUAUUAGUUAAAGUCCCAUUGAAAUCAAAAUGUAGUUUUAGACGUUAGUAUCAGUAUUUUAAUCUCCAUGUCUACUAAAGUGUUUUAUUUUUUUCUUGAGCUAAGAAAUAGUUUUUCGUUGUUGUUAAUAGUAGCUCAAUGUUCAUAAAUGUCUUUAGUAAAUGCACACCCUGAUCUGAUGCGGUAGACACAGGCGAAUAAUGUCAUUUUUAAAUUGUUUUGGUGUACAAAAGUGUUCUUGGAGCUUCGUAUGAUUAAAGUUGAACCACUGCAAUUCACAUGGAAUAAUUUGACAAUGUUUUUGGUGUUGCACUCUAUUAUCCUUAAAUAGUAUCUUUAUACGUCUUGAUUUUUGUUUUAAAUAUGCCAGUCAAGAUUUUGUAUAUAUGAAUAAAGGUAAUGACAGUCAUUAAGUGACCUACAGUAAAGGUCAAGUGAGUGACAGUUUAGUUUAAUAACUUACCAAAGUAACUGAGCAGCACAGGCAGAAAUAUGAGUCCAUGGGCCAUGCCGAGAAGAGUUAUGACCAGAUUGAGUCUGAAGAAGAAGAUCUGGAUGAGCUGAGCUUUAGCAAACGCCAAAACAACAAUUCCGGGCAGAUUGGUCAUCGCAACACCAGCAAACACCUGAGAGAGACAAGGGAUUUAAGAAAUUUUUUUAAACUACAGUAGUAGUUUUAAAAUUUACAGUAGUAAAGACAUUUUUUUGCUCAAAUUGUUGUCCUUUGUGAUUCAUUAAAUGCAAGUAAAAGUGUCACUCAGAAAUAUCUUAAAAAUAGCCAGAUAACAUUUACAUUGUAAAGAAAUGUAUCAUUCCUAUUGUUUUCUGCAUUGUAUUACCGUGUAUGUAUUUAUGUAUGUAUAUUCAAACUCAAAAAAGUUGUUUCAUUACCCUUUAAAAAAAAUUUGUUGAACAAAAGAGUGUUUUUUUGUGGCAUUUUAAUUAAGGCAAGUUUAUUUAUAUAGCACAUUUCACACAGUGACA